rnacentral:rRNA from 1 species
GUAGGUGGCAAGCGUUGUCCGGCAUUAUUGGGCGUAAAGCGCGCGCAGGCGGUUCUUUAAGUCUGAUGUGAAAGCCCACGGCUCAACCGUGGAGGGUCAUUGGAAACUGGAGAACUUGAGUACAGAAGAGGAAAGCGGAAUUCCACGUGUAGCGGUGAAAUGCGUAGAGAUGUGGAGGAACACCAGUGGCGAAGGCGGCUUUCUGGUCUGUAACUGACGCUGAGGCGCGAAAGCGUGGGGGAGCAAACAGGAUUAGAUACCCGUGGUAGUCCACGCCGUAAACGAUGAGUGCUAAGUGGUUAGGGGGUUUCCGCCCCUUAGUGCUGCAGCUAACGCAUUAAGCACUCCGCCUGGGAGUACGGCCGCAAGGCUG